GCCCCCAGGCAGACCGCACCACUGAGUCAGGGGUCCCUCAUCCCCAGAGCCAAGCCCCUUGGGUUCCUCGCAGAGACUUUACUCCAUCCUGUGCCUCAGUUUCCCAGGCUGUCACAUGGAGGGUUAGAACGUGGCAUUUUCCCAACACCACCUGUCACUCGGCUUCCUGGGUCACGCCU